ACAGCCAUGUCACAUUGAAACACCAGUUACCAUAUGAUCACCAAAGUUAAGCAAUGUUCAGCCUGGUCAGUACUUAGAUGAGUGACCUCUUGGGAAUACCAGGUGCUGUAAG
rnacentral:rRNA from 1 species